rnacentral:rRNA from 1 species
GACCAGACUCCUACGGGAGGCAGCAGUGAGGAAUAUUGGUCAAUGGGAGAGAUCCUGAACCAGCCAAGCCGCGUGAGGGAAGACGGCCCUAUGGGUUGUAAACCUCUUUUGUCGGAGAACAAAACCCGGGACGUGUCCCGGACUGCGUGUAUCCGAAGAAAAAGCAUCGGCUAACUCCGUGCCAGCAGCCGCGGUAAUACGGAGGAUGCGAGCGUUAUCCGGAUUUAUUGGGUUUAAAGGGUGCGUAGGCGGGACGGUAAGUCAGCGGUAAAAAUGCGGAGCUCAACUCCGUCGAGCCGUUGAAACUGCCGUUCUUGAGUGAGCGAGAAGUAUGCGGAAUGCGUGGUGUAGCGGUGAAAUGCAUAGAUAUCACGCAGAACUCCGAUUGCGAAGGCAGCAUACCGGCGCUCAACUGACGCUGAAGCACGAAGGCGUGGGUAUCGAACAGGAUUAGAUACCCCAGUAA